rnacentral:rRNA from 1 species
UACGAAGGGGGCUAGCGUUGCUCGGAAUUACUGGGCGUAAAGCGCACGUAGGCGGAUUGUUAAGUCGGGGGUGAAAUCCUGGAGCUCAACUCCAGAACUGCCUUCGAUACUGGCGAUCUCGAGUUCGGGAGAGGUGAGUGGAACUGAGAGUGUAGAGGUGAAAUUCGUAGAUAUUCGCAAGAACACCAGUGGCGAAGGCGGCUCACUGGCCCGAUACUGACGCUGAGGUGCGAAAGCGUGGGGAGCAAACAGG